rnacentral:rRNA from 1 species
GGGUUGUGAGGUUAAGCGACUAAGCGUACACGGUGGAUGCCCUGGCAGUCAGAGGCGAUGAAGGACGUGCUAAUCUGCGAUAAGCGUCGGUAAGGUGAUAUGAACCGUUAUAACCGGCGAUUUCCGAAUGGGGAAACCCAGUGUGAUUCGUCACACUAUCAUUAACUGAAUCCAUAGGUUAAUGAGGCGAACCGGGGGAACUGAAACAUCUAAGUACCCCGAGGAAAAGAAAUCAACCGAGAUUCCCCCAGUAGCGGCGAGCGAACGGGGAGCAGCCCAGAGCCUGAAUCAGUGUGUGUGUUAGUGGAAGCGUCUGGAAAGGCGCGCGAUACAGGGUGACAGCCCCGUACACAAAAAUGCACAUGCUGUGAGCUCGAUGAGUAGGGCGGGACACGUGGUAUCCUGUCUGAAUAUGGGGGGACCAUCCUCCAAGGCUAAAUACUCCUGACUGACCGAUAGUGAACCAGUACCGUGAGGGAAAGGCGAAAAGAACCCCGGCGAGGGGAGUGAAAAAGAACCUGAAACCGUGUACGUACAAGCAGUGGGAG